UGACAUUGUCCGUAAUGAUUACCGAGAUGUCACAUUCGGACAGGACUAAAAUCACCGAGAAGCUCUGGUAAUAAUUACUUUACCCCCCACGUCCCCACGUAGAACUAAUCCCGUCCGAAUAGGGCUCAAGACAAUAAAAUCUGUGAAGCUGAAGCUGAGACGAUUGCUUAUGUAAGAGGAAAGCUGUCUUUCAUAAGCUCGUAAAAUAAGCGAAGCAUGUCACAAGAUUUUUUGCAGCGGCGUCUCUCCGACUAAGCCAGAUCUCCCUUGGCCUUCUCCCUUCCUCUCUAAAACCCUUUAAUUAACUAAACAGUAGUUGACCUAGAGAGAUUUUCCUCUUUUCCAUUAUUUUUGGUGUCACAGGCCCACGGGGCAGCUGCGUAGGCGAAGGAAGGAAGGAAGAGAGGAAGAGAAAGUAAAGAUGAAAAGAAACAUGAAAGCGAGUCAGGGGAAAAAAAUAUGACGAGGAAGGGAAACGCAAAGAAGCGACGCUGAUGGAUGACACACGAUCCGUUCAUCUGAAAGGAGGAGGAUCGGCUUUCUAAGUUAAAACGCAGAUUUGUUGUGCGCUGGUUUCUGGUGAAACGUGCGUUUGUCUUUCACUUCUGUGUCAGCUGCUGCUGUCCUGCCUCCCACUUCCUGUUAUGUGCCUCUGAGGAGGGAGGAUCAGGGAGAGAAGAGAGAAGAUAAGAAAAAUCUCACCAGGAAACACGUCACCAUGAAGUGCGUCAUGGUGCAUCAUUCUUCAUCCAGAAGACUUUCAUUAUGUUAAUAACAAUAAACAGGAUCCUGGCCUGUUUGCUCAUGUCAGAUUUCCGGUAACGUUUCUGGAAUUCCUGGAGCCGAAGUCGCCGGAUUCCUCGGCACUACCUCGUGUUUUGGUGUUUGCUGCACUUUGGAUUUCCGUCCCACUCGCAGCGUAUGAGUCAGAAAGCAUGUGGUAUUCAAGGUCUGACUGCCUCACACAACACGGCACAGCACACACUCCCGCCUCGCUGUGUUUAUCUUAAAGCCAUCUGACUUCUUGUCACUCUAUUUUUUUUCUUUUCUUUUUUUUUUUAAAGAAUAGACACAGUGACAUAAGGAUUACUCCACCUCGCCUGCCACUUUGUCCCUUUACAAACACGUCCUUUCUACUCCGGUAUCCGCUCACCUUCCAGCCUCUGGAACGUCUCUCAUUAUUCUCCAGAAAUCUGCUCCUACUAGCCCUAGGAAUCUAAACUUCACCGCCCCACAGUGUCUCGAGCUGCCGGAUGAUGUCACCUGAUCACGUCACAGUCAUUAUUUUCACUGCCUGACCUUUAAUCAUAAUAAUUAUUUGACCUCAUUUCAUUUCUUUGCAAACACACACACACACACACACACACACACACACACACACACACACACACACACACACACACACACACACACACAGACAGCAGUGGG